UCUACGGGAGGCAGCAGUGAGGAAUAUUGGUCAAUGGACGAGGGUCUGAACCAGCCAAGUAGCGUGAAGGAUGACUGCCCUAUGGGUUGUAAACUUCUUUUAUAUGGGAAUAAAAUGUUCCACGUGUGGGAUUUUGUAUGUACCAUAUGAAUAAGGAUCGGCUAACUCCGUGCCAGCAGCCGCGGUAAUAAGGAGGAUCCGAGCGUUAACCGGAUUGAGUGGGUUUAAAGGGCGCGUAUGUGGAUUGUUAAGUCAGUUGUGAAAGUUUGCGGAUCAAACGUGAAAUUUCAGUUGAAACUGGCAGUCUUGAGUACAGUAGAGGUGGGCGGAAUUCGUGGUGUAGCGGUGAAAUGCUUAGAUAUCACGAAGAACUCCGAUUGCGAAGGCAGUUCACUGGACUGCAACUGACACUGAGGCUCGAAAGUGUGGGUAUCAAACAGGAUUAGAUACCCGUGUAGUC
rnacentral:rRNA from 1 species